GCAUUUGAGCACUGCCCACUCAGCUGUGCUCUCCACUGCCCGCAUUUCCUAGGUCAGUCUUCAGGAGGAAAGCAGUCAGAGCCAAAGGACGACUACAAACCAUAGGACCUGCACAAGCUGAAAGAGAAGGAAACUGGUGUGUCCUAAAAGUCUCCUGGAUGCUGGGGAAGGAGGUGAUCAACAAACAAGACAGCAGGGAAGACUGCGAACUAGAGAGGCAAUGAUUGGAAGAUUAUCUGUGGGUAACCCAGCACUAUCUACCUUCCAAGAUCUCUUCGUCACAAGGGCUAGAAGACAAUGAACUACAUUUCUUAGAAGUCCUGCCGGCAGAGUUUUGUGUUAUGAUGCCCUUGAGAGACACUCCUAUGAGCCUUGGAAGGUGGGAGAGAAGCAGAAACCAUACUAUCAUUCCUGUGCCACUGGCAGGCAUGUAGUGUGCUUUGGCAGACCACAGAUUAAAGAUGUUUCCAGAGCUGCUGGUUAAAGACACAAGACAACUAAAAGCAAUGUCUGACCCUGGCUUGGAUCCUGUAUUGGAGGGGAAGAUGUUGUAAAAAAAAUCAUUAUUGGGGCAAUUGAAUAAGGACAAUCUCUUGGAUAAAACUGCUCUAUCUGUUAAAUUUAUUGAAGUCGAGUUACAGUUCUGAAAGGGAAUAUUCUUGUUCUUAGGAAAUGCACAGUGAAAUAUAUAGGAAUAAAGUGGUCCUGGGAUAAAGGGCCAUACUGUAUACAGUUUAAUGUUGGUAAUAUAAAGUAUAUAAAGAGAGUGAGACAAUGAAUACAAAACAAAGGGGGCAAAGUGUUAAAAAUAGAUUAACUUGAGUAAAUGGUAUAAGAAGUGUUCUUUGUAUUGUUUUUGUGUUUUUGCAACUUUUUUGUAAAUUUGAAAUUAUUUCCAAACCAGAAAA